rnacentral:rRNA from 1 species
CCUACGGGUGGCUGCAGUGGUGAAUAUUGCACAAUGGGCGAAAGCCUGAUGCAGCCAUGCCGCGUGUAUGAAGAAGGCCUUCGGGUUGUAAAGCACUUUCAGUUGUGAGGAAAGGGGUGUAGUUAAUAACUGCAUCCUGUGACGUUAGCAACAGAAGAAGCACCGGCUAACUUCGUGCCAGCAGCCGCGGUAAUACGAGGGGUGCAAGCGUUAAUCGGAAUUACUGGGCGUAAAGCGCACGCAGGCGGUUUGUUAAGCUAGAUGUGAAAGCCCCGGGCUCAACCUGGGAAUAGCAUUUAGAACUGGCAGACUAGAGUCUUGGAGAGGGGAGUGGAAUUCCAGGUGUAGCGGCGAAAUGCUUAGAUAUCUGGAGGAACAUCAGUGGCGAAGGCGACUCCCUGGCCAAAGACUGACGCUCAUGUGCGAAAGUGUGGGUAGCG